rnacentral:rRNA from 1 species
GGGGAAUAUUGGACAAUGGGCGAAAGCCUGAUCCAGCCAUGCCGCGUGAGUGAUGAAGGCCUUAGGGUUGUAAAGCUCUUUUGUCCGGGAAGAUAAUGACUGUACCGGAAGAAUAAGCCCCGGCUAACUUCGUGCCAGCAGCCGCGGUAAUACGAAGGGGGCUAGCGUUGCUCGGAAUCACUGGGCGUAAAGGGCGCGUAGGCGGACUUUUAAGUCGGAGGUGAAAGCCCAGGGCUCAACCCUGGAAUUGCCUUCGAUACUGGGAGUCUUGAGUUCGGAAGAGGUUGGUGGAACUGCGAGUGUAGAGGUGAAAUUCGUAGAUAUUCGCAAGAACACCGGUGGCGAAGGCGGCCAACUGGUCCGAAACUGACGCUGAGGCGCGAAAGCGUGGGGAGCAAAC